GCAAACUUGGUCAUUUAGAGGAAGUAAAAGUCGUAACAAGGUUUCCGUAGGUGAACCUGCGGAAGGAUCAUUACCGAGUUUUGAGAAUUUAAUUCUCAACUCCAACCCUCUGUAUAUCAGACAAUUGCUUUGGUGGAACGGUACUUCAUUACGGCUGGCAUGUUAAUUGCUAGAGAGUUUCCACCAAAGACAUUUUAAAUCCUUUUUAUAUUAAGUCAGAAGUUUGAUUAAAUUAAAUCAAAACUUUCAACAACGGAUCUCUUGGUUCUGGCAUCGAUGAAGAACGCAGC
rnacentral:misc_RNA from 1 species